rnacentral:misc_RNA from 1 species
ACAUCCUCAACCUUCCCGGUUUCUCAACCGGGGAAGGCUUGGACUUUGGAGGUUUUCUCUUGCUGGCCUUCCUUUGAAGCCGGCUCCUCCUAAAUGGAUUAGUGGGGUCCGCUUUGCCGAUCCUUGACGUGAUAAGUGUGCUUCUACGUCUUGGGUUUCGGCACUGCCUUGGCCUGGAACCCGCCUCCAAUGGUCUCUCUUUUGAAAGACGAUCUUAGA